rnacentral:rRNA from 1 species
UACGUAGGGUGCAAGCGUUGUCCGGAAUUAUUGGGCGUAAAGAGCUCGUAGGCGGUUCGUCGCGUCGGCUGUGAAAACCUGAGGCUCAACCUCAGGCCUGCAGUCGAUACGGGCGGACUUGAGUACUGCAGGGGAGACUGGAAUUCCUGGUGUAGCGGUGAAAUGCGCAGAUAUCAGGAGGAACACCGGUGGCGAAGGCGGGUCUCUGGGCCGAUACUGACGCUGAGGAGCGAAAGCAUGGGUAGCGAACAGG